GCCUCCCGCCCUCACAGCCCCCACCUGGCCCCAUGCCCACCUACCCACAGCUCUCACCCAGCCUCUGUUAUAGGAUGCCACACUCUAAGGGCUGGGCCAUCCCCUAGCCCGGCCGCUUAUGUUAGAAUUGAGUAAACUGAGGUCCAGAGAAGAAACAGCUUGCCUAGAGUCACAGAGCAAAUUGUUCCACACUUACCUUACUACACAGUACUGCCUUCCCCAUGUGUCAUCAUGCCAGCCCCUGACGCGAGCCAGGGACCCUGCUUCACACGGCCCGCCGUGCUCUCUUCAUACCCUCCUCAGCCUUGUCUCCAUGCUGUGCCCAGCCCUCGCACAUACCCACUCCUGCCCUCCUCUUGCGCCCUCGCCCUCCCUACUCCCCUUUGCUGUGCAGCAGCACCCGUGGUUCGGGGGGACAGUGGGGAGUGUCGGACCCGUUCGGAGGGCCCUUGGGGGUGAGUUGGGCUUGGAGCACUGUAGGGAGCCAGGGGUCCCAGGGUGAGCACAUCCCUGAAAUGUGGAGAGAGCUGAGCCCCCAGGACUGGGGACAUAACGCAGGGCCCUCUUAGGCGUGGGGAUGACAGGCCCAUCCAGGCCGCUGUCCUCUCCGCUCCCUCUGUGAUGGCUGAGAGCCAGGGACCUCUCCUCAGCUCCUCACUUUGCCAUCGUCCCUCCCAGUCUCUCACGAGGUAUAGUCCCUUCGCCUGGCAGAGGCCAGCUCUGGGAACGUCCUGAGAUGACCCUCGGCGCUUGCAGUCAUGGUCUGCCAGGCCUCCUCACCCGCCUCACCUCCCUGGUGCCGCUCGUUCCUGUGGGUGCCACCUUUCUUGGUCUCUGUCCUUCAGUCCCCAUCCCUGGCCUGCUCCUCCUCCUCCAGGGUCCAGCUCUGCCUCGCUUCUCUGUGCUAACCCAUGUCUCGAUGCUUUUCUCUUUGGGAUUCCUCCCGACAUCCUGCAGGCUUCGGGGUGCUCCUGAUGCCUGUGAACGCCUCUCCCCUGGUUGCCCUGGGUCUCUGCUGCCCAAGAACCCGAGGGACCCGGCCUCUGGCUAGCCGAUGGCCUUCCUAUCCCAGGCCUGGCCUUGGGGGAACUGAAAGCGGCAGUGCUGCCUGCAGUGUUAGAGGCAGCUCCGUAUCCCGAAGGGCCCUAGCCAGGCGAGUGAGCUCAGGGGGCCGCCUGCGCUCCUCCCGCUACCCUCCGAGCUGCGCCCCUGUCUCAGGCACCUCUCGGACCUCGCUGUGUUUCACUGCCUCCUGCCCACAGACCCAGCCGGCCCGCCGGCCCGGACCUGUCCCAGCCUCCCCUCCCUUCCCCAGCCCAUGCAGCACCCCGGGGUAGCCCACGGGCCCCUAAGAACCUUCCCUCCCCAAGUGGACAUGUGGCUAGGAGGCCCCCAGAUGGACCGAGUGCCGAAGGGGUGGCCAUGAAGGGUGUCAAGCCCGUGGGGAGCACCAAGCGAGUGCAUGUGCUAUGCUGCUGCAGGCCACUGUCUGUCUCUCCGUUUGUCUGUCUGUGUGUCUGUGACAGUCAGGGAAGGAUGCCUGUGAUCUGGGGUGAGGUGAGGCCACAGGAGAGGAGAAGGCAUGGCACCCACAGGGUGGAGGAGCCCAGCGGGCAGGGGCUGUGGCCAGGGGACUCACUGGGAGGGAGCAGGGCACUGACCAUUCCAGAAAGGAGUUUUGAAUGGCACAACACUUUCUAUUCCACAAGCGACCAAAAGUCAGAGGCCUAGGGCUGAGCCCUGGCCCUGGUGGGUUUAGGGCCCAGAAGGGACUCCCUCAUUCAAGGUCAGGGCGGGGGCUACUCUGUCUGGGAAUGAGGGAGUUAGCCAGGCUUGGCGCAGGAGUGGGGCCAUAGUGGGGGAGGAGGUAUUCAGAAACACUAUUUCUAAGCUCAAAUAAAGUCCAGUUUGUACCCA